GGGCCUGUAGCUCAGCUUGGUAGAGCAGCGGACUUUUAAUCCGCGGGUCGCGGGUUCGAAUCCCGCCGGGCUCA
rnacentral:tRNA from 3 species